GGGUUUAAUGCCGAUCCCUGGGUUAGACCCACUGUUAUUGGGAACUCCUUUGUAUCUCCUGCUACUAUUUUCACGCUCUCCAUCAUACAUAUCAUUUAUGACUUUAUGUACUAAAUAUAAAUUCCUUUCUUCUCUAUCACCCACCAAAGUACCUUUCACAAUAGUUUAUCCUCUCUUUAUCAAAGUCAAGAACACUAUUUGUAGGUCUUUCUUCCUUUCGCAAAAAUUUCCAUCAAUCUCCAUAGCAGGAAUAUAGCCUAUAUAUAAAUUCAAAUGUUGCAGUGCUGGAUCAGGGAGGGUCUACGCAAGAAGGUUCAAAAGACCUGGAACACUGUUCCUCUAAGUUAUCAGGUGGUUUGUCUGGCUUGAAAGAAACAGCAUAAUUUUUUAA
rnacentral:lncRNA from 1 species